rnacentral:rRNA from 1 species
CCUACGGGAGGCAGCAGUGGGGGAUAUUGGACAAUGGGGGGAACCCUGAUCCAGCGACGUCGCGUGAGUGAAGAAGUAUCUCGGUAUGUAAAGCCUCGUCAGUAGGGAAGAAAGCAAUGACGGUACUUGAUCAUGAAGCCUCGGCUAACUAAGUGCCAGCAGCCGCGGUAAUACGUCGGGGGCAAGCGUUAUCCGGAUUUACUGGGUGUAAAGGGUGCGUAGGCGGCUGUGCAAGUCUGGGGUGAAAGGAGGGAGCCGAACCCCCGGACUGGGCUGGAAACUGUAUGGCUGGGGGGGAGGGAAGGUAGGCGGAAGUGUGGGGGUGGCGGUAAAAGGCGUGAAAAUUAGGAGAAACACCAGUGGGGAAGGCGGCUUACGGGACUGUAACUAAGGUGAAGGCUGGAAAGCGUGGGAAGGAAACAGAAUUAGAUACCCUGUAGUC